rnacentral:lncRNA from 1 species
AAUUAACAUCUCAGGUACCAAAAAGAUCAUUGUCGGAUGUUAUUACCGACCCCCAUCACAUGAUGGAACAUCUCUUGAAAACUUAAAUAGUUCUUUAACAAAAAUCAAAAACAUCUCAAAUUCUAACAUAUGGCUAGGAGGAGACUUUAACUUAGGCCAUAUUGAUUGGUCAGUUCCAUCUAUUAUUGCUGGAAAACCAGAACAAAAAUUACACCAACAACUUCUAGACAUAGUUAAACACGCAAAGACAGAACCCUAGAUCUGUUCUUCACUAAUAAUCCAUCUAGUGUAAAUAAAAUGACAACUUUACCACCAAUUGGUAAGGCAGAUCAUGAUAUAGUAUACCUUGAAAUUGACACAUGGCUAAAAAGGGUACGGGAACUACCUAGAAAAAUCAUGAAAUUUAAUAAAGCAAAUUGGGAGAACAUAAAAGCUGAUCUCACUGUAUUAUUAACAACAAUACAAGAAAAAUACAAACACAGUAAUGUAAAUGAAUUAAUUUUUUGUGGGAAAAUUUUAAGAUAGACCUCAUAAAAUCUAUAGAAACAAAUGUACCACACAAAAUGAUAACUUACAAACAUAGAUUACCUUGGGUAACAGACAAACUGCGUAGGCUUAUAAAUAAGAAAAACAAAGCUUAUCAAAAAAGGAAGAAAGAUCCAGAAAAAUAUAAAAAGUUAAAACAAAUAGUACAAAAAGAAUUACGAACAGAAUAUUGGAAAUAUAUUGAAAAAAUGAUCUGUGACAUACCAAUAGACGAACCUGGUCAAUAUGAAACAGCAAAAGCAAAACCAAAAAAUCUGUUCAGCUAUAUCAAAAGCACACGAUCUGAUAACACUGGUGUUGCACUUUUGAAAAAAGACGGCAAACUAGUUACAGACACUGAGGAAAAAGCGAACAUUUUAAAUCAACAGUUCCAAUCAGUAUUUACAGAUGAAACAGAUGAUAACAUCCCAGACAAAGGUACAAGCCCCCACCCAAAAAUGCCAAAAAUAACAAUCACUGAAGCAGGUAUUACUAAAUUACUGUCAAACAUAAAUCCACAUAAAGCUUGCGGCCCGGACAAUAUCAAUGGCAGAGUCCUUAAAGAACUAAAGGAACAAAUCACCAAAUUCUUACAUUGAUAUUUAAAAAGUCACUUGAUACUGCCAAGAGAAACACCUAAGGACUGGAAACAUGCUAAUGUAGCUCCAGCUUUCAAAAAGGGGGAAAAAUACAAACCCGUAAACUACAGGCCAAUAUCUUUAACCUGCAUAUGUUGCAAGCUAAUGGAACAUAUCAUUACAAGUAACAUCAUGUCUCACCUUGAAAAACAUCACAUAUUAUACGAUCUACAACACGGCUUCAGAAAAUCAAGGUCGUGUGAUACACAAUUAAUAGACUUCAUUCAAGAACUAGCACGAUCAAAUAAUAGUAACACACAAAUUGACUUAAUCAUAAUGGACUUCGCUAAAGCGUUCGACAAAGUCUCACAUCGUCACCUCCUUUACAAACUAAAUUCUAUGGUAUUGAAAAUAACACACUAAAUUGGAUUCAGGCAUUUUUACAGGACAGAACACAAACAGUAGUCAUUAAUGGCAUUUCCUCCACCUCAGUACCCGUAACAUCUGGUGUACCACAAGGAACAGUAUUGGGCCCAAUACUGUUUCUUAUCUAUAUAAAUGACUUACCGGAAUACCUAGAACACAGUAAACUUAGACUCUUUACUGAUGACAGCAUAAUUUACAGGGAAAUAAAAACACAAGAUGAUUGUCAUAAGCUACAACUUGACCUUGACUCAGCAGCUCGAUGGGAGUCAGAUUGGCUUAUGGCAUUUCACCCUGAUAAAUGUACAAACCUUUCCAUCUCUCAAAAGAAAAAUAACUACCGGCAUAAUUACAUCCUCCACAAUCACAUUCUCGAAUCAGUUACAUCCGCAAAAUAUCUAGGCAUUACCUUACAAUCAAAUCUGAAGUGGAACAAACAUAUAGACAACAUAGUAUCAAAUGGGAACAGAUCACUUGGUUUUCUAAAAAGAAAUUUAAAAAUUACAAACACAGAAACAAAAUCAAGAGCAUACCAGGCACUAGUAAGACCCAA